rnacentral:rRNA from 1 species
UGGGGAAUAUUGGACAAUGGGCGAAAGCCUGAUCCAGCCAUGCCGCGUGAGUGACGAAGGCCUUAGGGUUGUAAAAUCCUUUCGUGGGGGACGAUAAUGACGGUACCCCAAGAAGAAGCUCCGGCUAACUUCGUGCCAGCAGCCGCGGUAAUACGAAGGGGGCUAGCGUUGUUCGGAUUUACUGGGCGUAAAGCGCGUGUAGGCGGGUCGUUAAGUUGGGGGUGAAAUCCCGAGGCUCAACCUCGGAACUGCCUUCAAAACUGGCGACCUGGACUCAAGCAGAGGCAAGUGGAAUUGCGAGUGUAGAGGUGAAAUUCGUAGAUAUUCGCAGGAACACCAGUGGCGAAGGCGACUUGCUGGGCUUGUAGUGACGCUGAGACGCGAAAGCGUGGGGAGCAAACAGGAUUAGAUACCCCAGUAGUCCCUGAGCGGGCUGGCAAGGCGCAU